rnacentral:rRNA from 1 species
UGCAGUCGAGGGGUAGAAGGAGCUUGCUCCUUUGAGACCGGCGCACGGGUGCGUAACGCGUAUGCAACCUACCUUGAACAGGGGAAUAGCCCAGAGAAAUUUGGAUUAAUGCCCCAUGGUAUUUUGAGAUGGCAUCAUCUUAUUAUUAAAGAUUUAUCGGUUCAAGAUGGGCAUGCGUCCCAUUAGUUAGUUGGUAAGGUAACGGCUUACCAAGACGAUGAUGGGUAGGGGUCCUGAGAGGGAGAUCCCCCACACUGGUACUGAGACACGGACCAGACUCCUACGGGAGGCAGCAGUGAGGAAUAUUGGUCAAUGGGCGCAAGCCUGAACCAGCCAUGCCGCGUGCAGGAUUAAGGCCCUAUGGGUUGUAAACUGCUUUUAUACGGGAAGAAACAACGAUUCGUGAAUCGUCUUGACGGUACCGUAAGAAUAAGGAUCGGCUAACUCCGUGCCAGCAGCCGCGGUAAUACGGAGGAUCCAAGCGUUAUCCGGAAUCAUUGGGUUUAAAGGGUCCGUAGGCGGGCCUGUAAGUCAGUGGUGAAAUCUUUCGGCUCAACCGGAAAAUUGCCAUUGAUACUGCAGGCCUUGAAUUAUUGGGAAGUAACUAGAAUAUGUAGUGUAGCGGUGAAAUGCUUAGAUAUUACAUGGAAUACCGAUUGCGAAGGCAGGUUACUAUCAAUAUAUUGACGCUGAUGGACGAAAGCGUGGGGAGCGAACAGGAUUAGAUACCCUGGUAGUCCACGCCGUAAACGAUGGAUACUAGCUGUUGGGAGCAAUCUCAGUGGCUAAGCGAAAGUGAUAAGUAUCCCACCUGGGGAGUACGAACGCAAGUUUGAAACUCAAAGGAAUUGACGGGGGCCCGCACAAGCGGUGGAGCAUGUGGUUUAAUUCGAUGA